UGAACGGUCCUUCAGUACCCAAAACAGAUUAAAGACUAAAUACAGAGCUGCUCUGAAGGAUGAGUCUUUAGAAGCCCUGAUGACUGUUGGUCUACUUGGACCACCAGUGACCAGCUACAACCCAGCAAAGUCAGUCAGGAUAUGGCUAAAAAGAAAAGACAGGAGGAAGAAAAGACUUAUGGAAGCAUACAAACCAAGGGCCAAUAAAGAGACUCUAAAAAAAUAGAGCAAAUUGUUUGCUGCAUUGCAUUUGUUUGUCAGUAAAGGCAGUAGAAUACAAACAUAGAAUAGUU
rnacentral:lncRNA from 1 species